UGAGGUUAAAGGAUAUAUCCGGCAUAGGAUGGACAUGCGUCUCAUUACGUAGACGGCGGGGUAACGGCCCACCGUGCCGACUAUGCGUAGGGGUUCUGAGAGGAAGGCCCCCCACACUGGUACUGAGACACGGACCAGACUCCUACGGGAGGCAGCAUUGAGGAAUAUUGGUCAAUGGCCAAGAGGCUGAACCAUCCAAUUGGCGUGAGGGAAGAAUGUCCUAAGGAUUGUAAACCUCUUUUGUCGGGGAGCAAAAAGGCUCUGCGGAGUCGUAUUGAGAGUACCCGAAGAAAAAGCAUCGGCUAACUCCGUGCCAGCAGCCGCGGUAAUACGGAGGAUGCGAGCGUUAUCCGGAUUUAUUGGGUUUAAAGGGUGCGCAGGCGGCGUGUCAAGUAAGCGGUAAAAUAGCGGGGCUCAACCCCGUCGAGCCGUUUGAACUGGCGCCCUUGAGUUCAGGCGAGGUAGGCGGAAUUCGUGGUGUAGCGGUGAAAUGCAUAGAUAUCACGAAGAACUCCGAUUGCGAAGGCAGCUUACCAGUGUUCGACUGACGCUCAGGCACGAAAGUGCGGGUAUCGAACAGGAUUAGAUACCCUGGUAGUCCACACAGUAAA
rnacentral:rRNA from 1 species